UUGUAUACGCGGUGAAACAGUAGCGCAAGCGGCUGUGGAGUGUAUAGAAGUGAGAAUGCCGGAAUGAGUAGCGCGAAUGCAGUGAGAAUCUGCAUGGCCGAAAGCCUCAGGUUUCUGGAGGAAGGUUCGUCCGCUCCAGGUUAGUCGGGAGCUAAGGUGAGGCCUAACGGCGUAGCCGAUGCACAGACGGUAGAGAUUCCGUCACCACCAAAAGAGUUAAACACAGGGACACAUUUGAAGUCUCGGAGCCGGGUGUUGGUUCCGGUAGUGAUCGAGGGAAAUUAGUACCGAAGUCCGGGAUGGAAGAUGGCGAGAAAAGCUGUGUGUAUUUCUGCGGUGCCCGUACCGCAAACCGACACAGGUAGGUAGGAAGAAGAUUCUAAGGCCAACGGGAGAAGGGUUGUUAAGGAACUCGGCAAAUUGACCCCGUAACUUCGGGAGAAGGGGUGCUCCAGAGAUGGAGCCGCAGAGAAUCGGCCCAAGCAACUGUUUACCAAAAACACAGGUUUGUGCUAAAUCGAAAGAUGACGUAUACGAGCUGACGCCUGCCCGGUGCUGGAAGGUUAAGAGGAGAUGUGCAAGCAUUGAAUCGAAGCCCCAGUGAACGGCGGCCGUAACUAUAACGGUCCUAAGGUAGCGAAAUUCCUUGUCAGGUAAGUUCUGACCCGCAUGAAAGGCGUAAUGAUUUGGGCACUGUCUCGACAGCCCGCCCGGCGAAAUUGUAGUACCGGUGAAGAUGCCGGUUACCCGCGACAAGACGGAAAGACCCCAUGGAGCUUUACUGUAGCCUAAUAUUGGGUUUCGAUGUUGCAUGCACAGGAUAGAUGGGACACUAGGAAGCAAGUGCUUUGGCAUUUGUGGAGUGGCCGUUGGGAUACCAUCCUUGCGAUAUUGGAAUUCUAACCUGCGCCUUUGAAUCAAGGCGGGGGACAUUGUUAGGUGGGCAGUUUGACUGGGGCGGUCGCCUCCUAAAGAGUAACGGAGGCGUUCAAAGGUUCGCUCAGCUUGAACGGAAAUCAAGCAAAAGAGUGCAAACGCAGAAGCGAGCCUAACUGCGAGACUGACGGGUCGAGCAGUAACGAAAGUUGGAGUUAGUGAUCCGGUGGUAUGUGAGUGGAAAUGCCAUCGCUCAACGGAUAAAAGUUACCCUGGGGAUAACAGGCUGAUCCCCCCCAAGAGUCCACGUCGACGGGGAGGUUUGGCACCUCGAUGUCGGCUCAUCGCAUCCUGGGGCUGUAUUCGGUCCCAAGGGUUUGGCUGUUCGCCAAUUAAAGCGGUACGCGAGCUGGGUUCAGAACGUCGUGAGACAGUUCGGUCCCUAUCUGUCGUGGGCGCAGGAUAUUUGAUGGGAGCUGUUCCUAGUACGAGAGGACCGGAGCGGACGUACCUCUGGCGCACCAGUUGUUCUGCCAAGGGCAUAGCUGGGCAACUAUGUACGGAUCGGAUAAACGCUGAAAGCAUCUAAGCGUGAAGCCGACCCAAAGAUAAGAUAUCCCAUUGUUUCAAACAAGUAAGACCCCUUGAAGACUACAAGGUUGAUAGGCAUGAUGUGUAAGUGGAGUGAUCCAUUCAGCAAGCAUGUACUAAUAGGUCGAGGGCUUGACCG
rnacentral:rRNA from 1 species